rnacentral:tRNA from 1 species
UGUAUUCCACAUUUCCACAAAUUCGAAUCUUGCUAAUAAUCUAGAUUCAUAUCAAGAUCUGUAAAUAGAAAAUCUAGGGAAAAU